UGUAAUCCUCACAGCAUUCUUAUGGAAUAACAUAUUUUAAUCUGGACUUUAUAGAUGUGGAAAUUAUGACACUAUCACAUUCAGUCUUCCCUAAACACCAUAAGAUUGAUAGAUCUCAACUUUACAACCUCUGAUUUCAUCAAACAAGGCACCAGGAGUCCAACCAUGAUUUUGUGGACAGCGUAGCUGGGUUCUCAGCCUAACCACACACCAGAAGCCCUCCAUUCCAGACUUAUUGAAUCAGCAUGUCCAGAAUAGUUUCCAGGGAGAUGGGGUGACUGAGGGAAGGGAGGAAACAAGGGAGACCAGGCAGGAACAGCCUUGCAAGUCAGUAUGCUUCAGACAGGGUAAGUCAAAUACACAUAUUAAAACCUAUUUGGUCUUAUUUUUAUUCAAAUAAUUGAAAUUUAAGGGGCACCUGGGUGGCUCAGUCCAUUAAGUGUCUGCUUCGGCUCAGGUCAUGAUCUCAGGGUCUGGGGAUCCAGCUGUGUAUUAGGCUUCCUGCUCAGCAAGGAGUCUCCUUCUCCCUCUUUGUCUGUGUGCUCUCUCUCUCUCUCUCAAAUAAAUAAAUAAAAUAUUUUAAAAAAUAAUUGAAA
rnacentral:lncRNA from 12 species